rfam:Camelus ferus unplaced genomic scaffold scaffold1076, whole genome shotgun sequence.
GUGGAUAUAGCUCAAUGGUAGAGUGCAUGCCUAACAUGCACAAGAUCCUGGGUUCAAUCCGCAGUACCUCCA